rnacentral:lncRNA from 1 species
CCGAAUCUUUUCCUUCAUCUCCUUUGGAGUUCGUGGCUCCGUUUUCCACUUAGAUUUAGGAGGGGCUAGAGGAAAUAAUGGAAUAGAUCCACAUAUAUUGAAUUGAUAGGAGGGUACCCAUCUGGAGUAAAGUCCUCUUCUCCCUCUUUUGCUUCAACUUUCUCCCCGAUCUACAUCACCUCGGCCUUCUCCUUCAUGUCCUUCUUCUCCUCAGGAGGUUCUUUCUUGAUGUUAAGCUUCAUC